rnacentral:rRNA from 1 species
GACUACUGGGGUAUCUAAUCCUGUUUGCUCCCCACGCUUUCGCGUCUCAGCGUCAGUAAUCUUCCAGAUGGCCGCCUUCGCCACGGGUGUUCCUCCUGAUAUCUACGAAUUUCACCUCUACACCAGGAAUUCCGCCAUCCCCUCCGAUACUCUAGUCAAACAGUUUCAAACGCAGUUCCUUGGUUGAGCCAAGGGAUUUCACGUCUGACUUAUCUAACCGCCUACACGCUCUUUACGCCCAGUAAUUUCGAACAACGCUUGCACCCUCUGUAUUACCGCGGCUGCUGGCACAGAGUUAGCCGGUGCUUCCUUUGUGGGUACCGUCAUUUUUUUCGUUCCCACUGACAGAGCUUUACAACCCGAAGGCCUUCAUCACUCACGCGGUAUUGCUGGUUCAGGCUUUCGCCCAUUGACCAAUAUUCCCCACUGCAGCCCCCCGUAGG